rnacentral:rRNA from 1 species
UACAGAGGGGGCAAGCGUUGUUCGGAAUUACUGGGCGUAAAGGGCGCGUAGGCGCCUUCUAAGUCGAACGUGAAAUCCCUGGGCUCAACCCAGGAACUGCGUCCGAUACUGGAAGGCUUGAAUCCGGGAGAGGGAUGCGGAAUUCCAGGUGUAGCGGUGAAAUGCGUAGAUAUCUGGAGGAACACCGGUGGCGAAGGCGGCAUCCUGGACCGGUAUUGACGCUGAGGAGCGAAAGCUAGGGGAGCAAACGGG